rnacentral:rRNA from 1 species
GAGUUUGAUCAUGGCUCAGAAUCAACGCUGGCGGCGUGCCUAACACAUGCAAGUCGAACGAGAAAGGGCAGCAAUGCCUGAGUAAAGUGGCGCACGGGUGAGUAACACGUGACUAACCUACCUUUGAGCGGGGGAUAACCUAGGGAAACCUGGGCUAAUACCGCAUAAUACCUACGGGUCAAAGCAGCAAUGCACUUAAAGAGGGGGUCGCGGCAGAUUAGCUAGUUGGUGAGGUAAUGGCUCACCAAGGCGAUGAUCUGUAUCCGGCCUGAGAGGGCGCACGGACACACUGGAACUGAAACACGGUCCAGACUCCUACGGGAGGCAGCAGUGGGGAAUUUUGCGCAAUGGGGGAAACCCUGACGCAGCAACGCCGCGUGGAGGAUGAAAUCCCUUGGGAUGUAAACUCCUUUCGAUCGGGACGAUUAUGACGGUACCGGAAGAAGAAGCCCCGGCUAACUUCGUGCCAGCAGCCGCGGUAAUACG